rnacentral:lncRNA from 1 species
CGGGUCCUGGGGCGGCAGCAGCGAGUAGGUUACCUGGGCGUUGGUGCCUGAGUCUCUGUCUGUGGCGCUGACACUGCCGAUGUGCAGGGCGGGGCUGUUGUUCUCGCGGACGAACAGGGUGUAGGAGAUUUGGGUGAAGGCGGGGGCGUUGUCAUUGACGUCGGAGACCAGCACGGUUAUGUUGUACUUGGUUUUCAGCCUGGGUGUCCCCAGCCACAGAAUAGCGUCUUGACUCGGACCCAGCCAGAGACCCUCCCAGAAAAACAAAGAGAAGCAAGACUUGCCUUUGUCUAAGAAAUCGCUCUCCUCCCGCCUCCAUUGCACUUUCCGUCACGCUCUUCCAGGGAAUGUCGCCAAGCUGAACCUCAGACAGAGCUGGGAAACAGUCUUUUGCCCCACAACCUUUGUAGACGGCCUAGUGAAUAAGCCUUUCCAGAGGCUCAGACUUGCUGGCUCAAAAAUCUGCCUGGGCUCUCAACCGCUGGUUUACCACACUGGAUCCGUGCGUCACCGAGCAUGCACAAUGCCUGUGGUUUAAUUCGCCUUCUUAGUCAACAGCGCCACCAUGCGUUCGCUUGCAGUUACAAAAUCUUGGAGAAGGUGUUUUUAUUUUGCUUUAUCGAUUAUUCUUAUCAACCCUAGUUGACGCUACUGGAGGAGUUUCUCAUGUUAUAUGAAUUAAAUAAAUGCAAUCUAGGGAAAUAAAAUGCACUUUUAUCUACGAGCAGCGAUUCUUCCUGGUAGAGUCCUCAUUUACACGAUUUAACGGAAGUGUACACAUACUAGUUUACCCCUCCCCUUUUGUAAUAAUUACACACAAACUUCAAAAGAUUUUUGCUCUAGAUGAU